rnacentral:lncRNA from 1 species
AUGGGGGUCUUUGAGUGCAAGCUUCUUCUGGGGAGAUGGCCGUGUCUGGCCCACGUCUUCCGGUGCUCACAGGACUGUGAGGAAUUUGCAAAUCCAGGUUUAAGGUUUGGGAAGCGAGGCUUUGUGACCUGCCUGCCUGUCUCAGCGUCUUGUGGUUCUCACAGGUAAGAGCGCUUUUGUUCUUUGGUGCUGGUGCUGGUGGCUCUGCAUAAAGGGG